GCGAGGGCGCACACCUCCAGCACUACCACCUUGGGCAUCACUUGGGCAUCACUGAGCCUGGGAGUGCAGAGAGAGGAGCUGAGAAGCUGGAAAACCCCUGCAAGUUGGACUCUGCCUUCGUUUCUCCUUCACCUGCGGCACAAGGAGCUUCCCAGGCGAGGGGCUGAAUCGGAGCUGUAGCCACUGGCCUACACCACAGCUCAGGGCAACGCCGGAUCCUUAACCCACUGAGCAAGGCCAGGGAUCGACCCUGGGUCCUCAUGGAUGCCAGUCAAGUUUGUUUCUGCGGAGCCACAACGGGAACUCAUCUCUCCUUUUGCCAGAGGGAGAUUGCAGCUGUCCUGCCCGUCUCACCAGUGGCUGUGAGGACCCAGAAAGUGACACUGGCCAUGGGAUUUUGAGAGGCGCUGGGGGCCUGGCCACGGGAGACGGCCAGUGUGCGGGAUGACAGAAGAAGCUGUCCAGAUUCCCACUGCAAUCGUGAGCCACUUACUAAGACCCUGCUGAGUGUGGGGAGCGUGUCCCUUACUAUGGACAGGUGUGCAGGGCUGGACACCGGACUCUGCCUGGGGUUCCACCACCUCUAGUGUCCUGUGGCAGAUGAGGGGCCCAGCUCCCCAGAAAGUCACUCCGUGACUCUGAUGUGCACCUGAGAAGGAAUGCCAGCCCGGCCGCUGAUUUCACAGGUACCAGUGCUCAGGAGGAGCCAAACAAGACGGUGCGGGCAGUUUGGGCAGGGCUGGCUUUGAAGGGACUCUUACGAGGGGUCUUCCGGGCAGGUAAGGGGCUGCGAGGCCCGAGGCAGGUGUGCUCAGGGGCUGAGGGGCUGGGAGUAAGGGCAGGAGGGGGGACGGUUGGUCCUGCCCAGCCGGGUUCUGCCCGAGGUCUGCGCCCCCGCCCGGGGCCCGAGGAGCUGCGCUCCCAAGCACGGUGGGCUGAGGCUCCACAUCUUUGGCCCUCCUUCCCCUUCUCUGGCUUCUCCCCCGUCCCUCCUCCUCCAUCUCCUCCCCCCACACACCCCCCCUUCCACUUCUUUCCCUCCCUCACCUCUGCGGCUCCUCUCCCGCCCGGGGCCCCGGGCCUCGGCCCCCCUUCCCAGGUGCAGCUGGAUGGGAGCAGGGAGCAGAGUCGAUGGCUGGCUGACCCGUCACCAGGUUCCCGGGGUCAGAGUGCAGCAUGGCAGCCCCUCAGAAACAGGGAGAAAGUGCCUAGAGAACAUCCCGGAAACGGGAAAGUGGACAGGCCCGUGGGCUUUCUUCUCCUGGUGAGGAUGAAGCCUCUGGACACCGAGGGCUUGAGGAACUCAGGAGCAGCUGAUUUACAAGGUUGUGCUAAUUUCUGCUGUACAGCAAAGCGAUUUGGUUGCUUCCCUUAA
rnacentral:lncRNA from 9 species